rnacentral:lncRNA from 10 species
GGCUUUCCCUGUUCCCCUGCACCAGUGCGAAAAGCAGAGUGUGCCAAGCGGCUGGCGUCUGUACCCUGUGGGAAAAGUUAACUGUAAUUCUUCGGCUUUUAAAAUCAAUUAACCCGAGUGUUAAUUAACGUCAAGUCGACGGGAGGAGGAGAAGAAGAAGGGGAGGGAGGGAGAAAAGAAAAAAGCUGCAAGGGCGGAUGGCAGAAGAGUUGGCACCGUGCCAUCCAUUCAGGGGCAACGCCACAGUUUCGUGUGAUAGCAGCAGCGGGUAUAUGAUACGGGGCCCUGUAUGCGGGCCAGACAGUGCGGUAAAGCCAAGGGAGAUUAUCCAGACCCCCAGGAGCGAACAGCAAGCAGCAACCGAAGGCGCAAGUGCCAGGAUUACAGCCUAGGCUGCUCCAACUAUGAGCCCUUCCUCGGACCCUGGGACUCGGCUACUUGGGGUUUGGGGGUCUUCCACACCACAGAGGCACAAAGCUGACUUUAAUCACUUUUUUUCCUUUAAACUUGAUUCUGCCGCAGUGGAGCCAGCACAGCGGAUGUUUUCACACCCAGCAAGACAAAGGCCGUCGUCUCCGCCAUGACACUGUUCCGUUCCAAGCAGAGGCCGGGAUUCUGGACUCCUCGAAAAAUCAAAAAGAAACAAGGAAAACAAACAACAAAUACAGCAACAAACAGAAAAAACUGAAAACCACCAAAAUCGUUUGCCCGUUUGCCCGUGCCAGGGGUGAUCUGGGCAUCUGUUGCAGCAGAAGGCGCUUGUGUGGGGCUAAUUUUUCUUUUGGUGGGGGGGACAAGCUGUUGGCUUGUUUGCUAUUUCAACUUCGUUUAUAAUUAACUUAAAAAAAACCCCACCAUUCAGCCUAGUCAACAACAAACAAAGAAAAAGCAGACAUCGGAAGAGAAAUGCCAUAGGAAGCGGCAUGAAUACAUGCCACAGCCGGUGCCACUUGCCACUCGGAAAACCUCAGGGAAAGAUGCCAAUUCUACAGCUGCGAAGAAGGCAGAGAAAGGAGGAUAAAGGUCUACAACUAGAAAUCAUAAGGAAAGAAUACUGCUUGUAUAAUCCUGGAUUGCAAUUGCACACAGCCUCUGCUGGGAGAAGAGAGGGAAUAUUUAAAUGGAGAUAUAGAUGGGUAUAAAUUAAAAGAUAGGCACCUAUCGAUUGCGUAUAAACACAUGUGUAAGGUUGUAUGUGUAUAUAAAUAUGCAUAUUUUCAGACAAACGUUUAGAUAUGUAUAUAUUUUGUGCUACAGGUAUGGGUAUGUAUAUAGGUGUAUAUGUUUAUGCAUAUACACACAUAUGUAGGAUGUAUGCAUGUGUGAGAAAAAGGAGGGAGAGAGAGGAGAGAGAAGGAAAUAUGUGUAUGUGCAUGUAUGUGUAUGCAUACAUCCCACUUUUUGACCCAGGUAUACACAGAAGACAAAAUAAAAAUCAUACUCCAGCAGCAAGCAGGCAGCCAGAGAUUUAUCUACAUUCACUGCUAUCACCAGGGAGAUGAAUGGGGCCGAUCUGAAGCCCUUUUACAAGAUCCACUAUGGGAGUGAAGGAGGAGGAGGGAUGCCACACAGACAUGCACAAACUUGAAGGCAGAGCGAUUUGGAAGGGGCUACUGAGGAAACACUGGUGGCAUAACGCAGGGGAGAAGAAGGGGAAAGAGGCUUGUCUCUCUCUCUCUAUGUUUUAGGUGGUUGUUUUUAAAAAAUCUGCAAAAGGGUUUCAGGGAACGGCUGGUACUUACGUUGUCUGCGUUGCUGUGGAUCCUGAAAGGUGUUCUGUUGGCACCGGGCGCUGAGCCAGGGGCAGGCGCUGGAAACAAAAGGGAGAGACAAAAAAAUAAAGUGAUUCAAUGGGAAUAUUAAUUGCUGCUCUUGUGGAUUUUACAAAACACAUAAACUGUUUUCUUUUUCUUUCUUAAAAAAAAAUGUGGAUUGGCGCGUGUCCCUUUUGCAUGGAAUAUACAAGUAGUAUGGGAUUUACAGCCCAGUUACGGGACUCAGGAUUAGCUGCGCUGGCAUCUUUUGGGCAUAUUCUUCCUUUUAAUGAAUGAGCUUUCGCUGUUAAUGAGGAAUAAUCGUUUGGCUAAUGAGCUUUGAAACAUUAAGAGAAAAGAGGUUUUUUCCGUUAAUCGCUCUGGUGCGACUGCAUGGAUGGAUUACAAAAGACAGCAAUAGGAACGCAGUACAAAGGGGGGGACCUCUCCUGCAGUGGGAGAAGCACCGAGAUGGGUGAUGUGUCCCUGCGUCUUUCCUUCCUUCUCUCUUUCGCUCUCUCUGCCAACUGCUAUGGGUUUCCAUAACUCUGCAAUCAAAGUGGAUGGUCGGGAAGGAUUAUUACACAGAGUGAAGCCUCCGCUGUUAAUGUCUCCAGUGUUUAAUCAUCAUACAGUAGAAUGGUUUUAUGCAUAUUUCAUUUGCAUAUCAUUAAACUGUGUUAGUGAGGGGCAUUCAGAACCAGGAGAAGUACAAAGUUGGGGAGAGAGGGAAGAAAAAAAGGUCCCUAUGAUGCUUAUCUUCAAACGGGGACUUGUUCCAUGAUCUGUCUUCUACUUUUGCUAAAAUCAUUAUGACUUGGAAACCUUUGAAGUUGGAUACAACCUUGGAUUCUUCUAAUUCCUGCAGAGCAGUGUAUUUUACAAAACAGCAGAAAUGUUCCUGCACUAGACAAUUAAAGGAAUAUAAACUCCAGUGGGCUGAAACUAGUAGCUCUUUGGGGAAUGCAGUAGCAGAGGCUUCUACAAAUACCAACACUUAAAAAUAUAUAAUAAACAGCAUCAUAUUAGAAACAAAGAAAACGAAGACAAGAAAUAUUAACACGUGGAUUAUAUUUGUUUCUUUUGGGGGGUAAUGAACUAAAGAGAAUGAAGAAGCCAUCGGUAAUUUAUCCCUUCAUUAAUGAACAGUCACCUUUUUGUAUGUGUUUGUUUUUGUCCUUUCUUUUUGAAGAGGGAUGUUGUUACUUUUGAAGCAAUUAGUCAAUUAUUUUGUAGCUCUGAUCUUUUCCCCCUGCACCCGACAGGACAGAAAGGUGGUGGUUAGGGAAUAUGUGAGUACUUGGGGAGGGGGGGACUUGGUGGGGAGAGAAAGAAUACAGUGAGUUCUUUGUAGAUCUUAUACAUGCACAACAUAUUAAUUGGGGGCUUUUAAAGCUCCCUCAAUGGGCUAUUUCAUUCCUGGUAAAACAGCAGCUGGUUAGCCACUACUGGUGACUCUUCAAAUAUUACUUCAUUUUUAUUCUGUCGCCGUUGUUGUUGUCUUGCUUUGUUUUUCCUCAGUUAAGAAUGAAAAUGUAGUAUCACCCCCUCUUUA